rnacentral:lncRNA from 1 species
UUGAACUUCACCAUAUUUCAUUGAUCCUACCUGAGUCUUAAAAAUGGCCUCAUUCAACCAAGAAAUAGCCAAGAAACAAUCUCAUGGUAGUUGCAUGUUAUAUUUAUAUUUUUACAUAAUUAAUUGUCAAAUUAGAUAACUAAAGUACAUACCUUUAUGUUGCAUGUUCAGAUGGAGUUGUUGCAGGAACCAAGGCUGCUGUAUUAGCUGCAAUUGUCACUGCUAUCCCAACUAUGGCUGUUGCAAAGAAGCUGCCAUGGGGCAGAUCUAAUCUCAAUUACACUGCACAGGCCCUUGUUAUUUCCACAGGUUAACUACAUUUUUAUACUUUAAAACUUGUCUUAUAUUUACGUUUCUUUGUUACAUAGAUGUGUAAAACAAAUUAACAAACAUACCAUGUAUAUGAGUAUAUCUUAUUUAUAGUAGAGCUAUUUGUAGGGGUCAAGUCAGGGCCGGCUCAACCAUUUUGGUGGUCUAAAGCGAAUUAAAAACUUGAGGAAAAAGACUAUUUGAGGAAAAUCCUCCUUUACCCGGGCUUGGGACCGGAAAAAUAAACUAAAAGGUUUAUUGUUGGCGAAGUUAAUUUAAUUUUUUUUUUUGUAUUUUUAUACAUUUUUUGUAUGUGUAAUGAUAAGUUCAACCCAGCCCAAAUAUCAUAUAUAUAAUUUUUUUUUAAGUUGGAGGUCCUAUUGAUUUGAAGGCCUAAACCCUAAACCUCAAAAUACUUAGGCUUGGACCGGCUCUGGGUCAAGCAAACCUUACGACAGAGAGCCGGCUCACACUAAGACACUGACUACAAAAACAAAAAAAAACUUUUUUUUAUGCUUACAAUAUAUAGUCUAGUAAGCUAGAUUUAUAUGAUUGUGUAACAUGAAUUUAUAUGAGUUUACAGUGGCGGGAGCAGCUUAUUUUAUAGUUGCAGACAAGACUGUUCUGGCAUCGGCUCGCCGAAACUCCUUCAAGAACAAUGAAGCAGGAAACUAAAGACUAGUUGUUAACGAUUUCGAAUUUCUCAAGAUCGUUUCGUUUUGUACUUAUAAAUAAUAAACUGAAGUU